UGUUGCUCAUUCAGCCUCUCAUCCAGAACAUCCAAUUUUCUCAUUCUCAUUAGGCGUGAUGAAUUUUCUUGCUAACAUUAGUUGGCUGUAUGGUACAUAUAUGUAUAAAUCACAUCACAUGUUGUGCGCAUUAAUAUGGUAUGCAUUUUUUGACGUAAUUAGCAUGUAUGCAAUGCUGGACCAAAAACUUAAUAUUAGAACCCACGAAUCGGAACUCAUGUGUGCCCUUUCUGGAUUCAUCACAUUGUACGUGCUCGCUUUUUUAAGCUAUUACUUUAUCG